GAUGAAGAACGUAGCGAAAUGCGAUAAGUAAUGUGAAUUGCAGAAUUCAGUGAAUCAUCGAAUCUUUGAACGCACAUUGCGCCCUUUGGUAUUCCAAAGGGCAUGCCUGUUCGAGCGUCAUUUGUACCCUCAAGCUUUGCUUGGUGUUGGGCGUCUUGUCUCUAGCUUUGCUGGAGACUCGCCUUAAAGUAAUUGGCAGCCGGCCUACUGGUUUCGGAGCGCAGCACAAGUCGCACUCUCUAUCAGCAAAGGUCUAGCAUCCAUUAAGCCUUUUUUUCAACUUUUGACCUCGGAUCAGGUAGGGAUACCCGCUGAACUUAAGCAUAUCAAUAGCGGAGGA
rnacentral:misc_RNA from 1 species